GUCUACAGCCAUGCCACCCUGAACAAGCCCAAUGUCUGAUCUCAGAAGCUAAGCAGGGUAUUGGGCCUGGUUAGUACUUGGAUGGGAGACCACCUAGGAAGACCAGGUGCUGUAGGUA
rnacentral:rRNA from 1 species